CUGGCAACGUGACAUACUGUGAGGAAGAUAACUCAGGCCCGCGGUGACAGGAAAUGAAUCAGGCCACACUGUGACCAGAGGAACCACUUAAGAAGCAGACAAUGAUUCAGCUUUGGUGAAAGUCAAGUAAUGAACAGGCUACACUUCACUUUUGCAUCUCUAAGAGGCACUGUCCGUGGUUCACCUGCUCCUUGCCCAGCGAUCUGCACGGUGGAGAGCUGCUUACCUCCGCCAGGGAGAAGACUGUGGAUGAAAAUAUUUUAGAGAUGAUUAUUAUACAACUGGAAAAGUAACACAAAAAUGAAAUUCCAGAGCUGCCAAUCAACAUGUUUAUAUGCACAUCAAUUUACUUGCAGAAAUGACUGACCUUCAUAACACAGAUAGGCA